UUUAAAGAGAGUUUGAUCCUGGCUCAGGACGAACGCUGGCGGCGUGCCUAAUACAUGCAAGUCGAACGAACAUUGGAAGAGCUUGCUCUUCCAAUGUUAGUGGCGGACGGGUGAGUAACACGUGGGCAACCUGCCUGUAAGUUGGGGAUAACUCCGGGAAACCGGGGCUAAUACCGAAUGAUAGA
rnacentral:rRNA from 1 species